GUUAUAAGACAAGUCGGGAAAGUUUUUUCGCUAAGGGAUCGGGCUAUACGGUAUCAGCUUGUUGGUGAGGUAAUGGCUCACCAAGGCUAUGACGCCUAUCUGGUCUGAGAGGAUGAUCAGACACACUGGAACUGAGACACGGUCCAGACUCCUACGGGAGGCAGCAGUGGGGAAUAUUGCACAAUGGAGGAAACUCUGAUGCAGCAACGCCGCGUGGAGGAUGACACAUUUCGGUGCGUAAACUCCUUUUAUGUGAGAAGAUAAUGACGGUAUCACAUGAAUAAGCACCGGCUAACUCCGUGCCAGCAGCCGCGGUAAUACGGAGGGUGCAAGCGUUACUCGGAAUCACUGGGCGUAAAGCGCGCGCAGGCGGCCUUUCAAGUUGGAUGUGAAAUCCUAUGGCUCAACCAUAGAACUGCAUCCAAAACUGUUAGGCUAGAGUCUGGGAGGGGAAGAUGGAAUUAGUUGUGUAGGGGUAAAAUCCGUAGAGAUAACUAGGAAUACCAAAAGCGA
rnacentral:rRNA from 1 species